GUUAAUUUGGCAGAUUAGUGCAAUAGAUUUAGAAUCUUUUAAAGUGAAUUUUUAUUUACAUUUAAUAC
rnacentral:tRNA from 1 species